rnacentral:tRNA from 1 species
GGAGAGGUACCCAAGUGGCUUAAGGGGACGGUUUGCUAAAUCGUUAGAUCGUGGAAACGCGGUGCGUGGGUUCGAAUCCCACCCUCUCCGCCA